rnacentral:rRNA from 1 species
GCGGGGUGCUUAAUACAUGCAAGUCGAACGAACUUCCGUUAAUUGAUUAUGACGUGCUUGCACUGAAUGAGAUUUUAAUACGAAGUGAGUGGCGGACGGGUGAGUAACACGUGGGUAACCUGCCCAGAAGCAGGCGAUAACACCUGGAAACAGAUGCUAAUACCGUAUAACAGAGAAAACCGCCUGGUUUUCUUUUAAAAGAUGGCUCUGCUAUCACUUCUGGAUGGACCCGCGGCGCAUUAGCUAGUUGGUGAGGUAACGGCUCACCAAGGCGAUGAUGCGUAGCCGACCUGAGAGGGUAAUCGGCCACAUUGGGACUGAGACACGGCCCAGACUCCUACGGGAGGCAGCAGUAGGGAAUCUUCCACAAUGGACGCAAGUCUGAUGGAGCAACGCCGCGUGAGUGAAGAAGGGUUUCGGCUCGUAAAGCUCUGUUGUUAAAGAAGAACGUGGGUGAGAGUCACUGUUCACCCUGUGAUGGUAUUUAACCAGAAAGCCACUCCUAUCUACGUGCCAGCCCCCGCGGAAAUACGUAGGUGGCAAGCGUUAUCCAGAUUUAUUGGGCGUAAAGCGAGCGCAGGCGGUCUUUUAAGU